GAUGAACGUUGGCGGUGUGCCUAAUACAUGCAAGUCGAACGGAGUUAAUAGCAAUAUUGACUUAGUGGCGAACGGGUGAGUAACGCGUUGGUGAUCUGCCUUGAAGUGUGGAAUAACGCUCCGAAAGGAGCGCUAAUACCGCAUGUGCUCUCAAUUUUUUAGAAACUUGAGAGGAAAGGAUUUAUUCGCUUCGAGAGGAGCCUGCGUCCCAUCAGCUGGUUGGUAGGGUAAAGGCCUACCAAGGCAAUGACGGGUAGGGGACCUGAGAGGGUGGCCCCCACAAUGGAACUGAAACACGGUCCAUACACCUACGGGUGGCAGCAGUAGGGAAUAUUAGUAAUGGGCGAAAGCCUGAACUAGCAACGCCGCGUGUGCGAAGAAGGCCUUCGGGUUGUAAAGCACUUUUUGAGAGGAUGAGGAAGGACGGUACUCUCAGAAUAAGUCUCGGCUAACUACGUG
rnacentral:rRNA from 1 species